UACGUAGGCAGCGAGCGUUGUUCGGAGUUACUGGGCGUAAAGGGUGUGUAGGCGGUUGUUUAAGUUUGGUGUGAAAUCUCCCGGCUCAACUGGGGAGGUGCGCCGAAUACUGAAUGACUUGGAGUGCGGGAGAGGUGAGUGGAAUUCCGAGUGUAGAGGUGAAAUUCGUAGAUAUUCGGAAGAACACCAGUGGCGAAGGCGGCUCACUGGACCGGUAUUGACGCUGAGGUGCGAAAGCGUGGGGAGCAAACAGGG
rnacentral:rRNA from 1 species